ACCUGGGUGGCUCAGUCGGUUGAGCAUCUGACUUUGGCUCAGGUCACGAUCUCACAAUUCGUGAGUUUGAGCCCCACAUCAGGCU
rnacentral:tRNA from 1 species